rnacentral:rRNA from 1 species
GACGAACGCUGGCGGCGUGCUUAACACAUGCAAGUGGAGCGACGAACCGGGGCUUGCCCCGGGGCAGAGCCGCGAACGGGUGAGUAACACGUGGGUUACCUGCCCCAAUGACCGGGACAACCCGAGGAAACUCGGGCUAAUACCGGAUGUGGUCUUCGGACGAAAGGAAGCUUCGGCCUCCGCAUUGGGAUGGGCCCGCGGCGCAUUAGCUUGUUGGUGGGGUAACGGCCUACCAAGGCGA